CCCUAGCCCCGAUUGCGGCGGUAUCCUCGUAGCGCAGCGGAGAGAUAAAGCCAAAAGUGGGAUCAAGC
rnacentral:misc_RNA from 1 species